UGGGGAAUAUUGGACAAUGGGCGCAAGCCUGAUCCAGCAACGCCGCGUGGAGGACGAAGGCCUUCGGGUCGUAAACUCCUGUCAGUAGGGACGAAAAAGUAGGGUCGAACAGGCCUUGCCAUUGACGGUACCUGCAGAGGAAGCCCCGGCUAACUCCGUGCCAGCAGCCGCGGUAAUACGGAGGGGGCAAGCGUUAUUCGGAAUUACUGGGCGUAAAGGGCGUGUAGGCGGCUUGAUAGGUCAAAAGGUGAAAUCCCUCGGCUCAACCGAGGAACUGCCUUUGGAAACCAUCUGGCUCGAGGCUGGGAGGGGGUAGCGGAAUUCCUGGGUGUAGCGGUGAAAUGCGUAGAUAUCAGGAGGAACACCAGUGGCGAAGGCGGCUACCUGGACCAGUUCUGACGCUGAGGCGCGAAAGCGU
rnacentral:rRNA from 1 species